CGGCGAGUGGCGAACGGGUGAGUAAUAUAUUGGAACGUACCGAGUAAUGGGGGAUAACCAAUCGAAAGAUUGGCUAAUACCGCAUACGCUCUGAGGAGGAAAGCAGGGGACCUUCGGGCCUUGCGUUAUUCGAGCGGCCAAUAUCUGAUUAGCUAGUUGGUGGGGUAAAGGCCUACCAAGGCGACGAUCAGUAGCGGGUCUGAGAGGAUGAUCCGCCACACUGGGACUGAGACACGGCCCAG
rnacentral:rRNA from 1 species